GAGGCAGAGGACUUCUCUCCAGUGCCAGAGUGUUUGCCAGUAACGAUUGAACCUGCCUGAAACCUGAAAUCCUGAAGAGUUUCUCUGCCAGUUAUCUGCCUGUCCGUUCUCAGAAGAACCCUAGAGAAUUAUUCCUGUCAAAGCCCUGCCUGCCCGCUCUCAGAAGAUUCUGGAAGGAAACUCAGAUCAGUUAUCUGCCAACACUCAAAUUAAGCUCUGCCUCUGCCUAGCCCUCAGGCUGCCUACAGCCUCUGGACCCUCAAGGUUCCCCCCCUCAGCCACUCUGCUCAACUCCAGAACAGUGAACCCACUCGUGGCCAGUCCUGGAUCUAAUAACUCUGUGUGUUUUCAGAACCCACUCGUAACCAG